GGCUCCUAAGAAGAAGAGUAAAUCCGCAAGGCCUCUAGCUGUCCUUAGUUCCUUUAUUUGGUCUGUGUUCAACUAUAUCUGUCAAUUGUUCGAUUUGGACGAGGCAGAUCCCAUUUGUACGGGGCAGUAUGACAUUAAAAGAAUCUCUGAAAGUAUGUAUUUUUUUUAAAUAUUAAACAAUGUUGAAACGGGUCGGAAAUUAUUAAAUUAAAACUAUCAGCAGUCUAAAUUGACUAAAUUGUGAAUUGGUAUUCGCUUUAUCUUUAUUAAAUCUUUAAUCUGAUGCUCCUAAGGUUUCCUAAAUCAGCUUACACUAUGCAGUUUAUUUUGAUAGCUUACUUUUUAUCCCACACAAACAUUUGGAAAUUUGAAAAAGUCGAAAUUUUACAAAUAUCAUGCGUAUAUGAACAGACAACGGCAAAAUCUUACCUAUUUGUUAAAUAAACACUUCUCUCGUUUAUAGAGCUAGACCAACUUGAAGCUAGGCUCAGGCUCAAUAGUUUCUUUGGCAAAAGCAGUUAUUCAGGAAUUCA